GAUGAACGCUGGCGGCGUGCCUAAUACAUGCAAGUCGAGCGAACGGACGAGAAGCUUGCUUUUCUGAUGUUAGCGGCGGACGGGUGAGUAACACGUGGAUAACCUACCUAUAAGACUGGGAUAACUUCGGGAAACCGGAGCUAAUACCGGAUAAUAUUUUGAACCGCAUGGUUCAAAAGUGAAAGACGGUCUUGCUGUCACUUAUAGAUGGAUCCGCGCUGCAUUAGCUAGUUGGUAAGGUAACGGCUUACCAAGGCAACGAUGCAUAGCCGACCUGAGAGGGUGAUCGGCCACACUGGAACUGAGACACGGUCCAGACUACUACGGGAGGCAGCAGUAGGGAAUCUUCCGCAAUGGGCGAAAGCCUGACGGAGCAACGCCGCGUGAGUGAUGAAGGUCUUCGGAUCGUAAAACUCUGUUAUUAGGGAAGAACAUAUGUGUAAGUAACUGUGCAAAUCUUGACGGUACCUAAUCAGAAAGCCACGGCUAACUACGUG
rnacentral:rRNA from 1 species